GGAAGUGCUGUAGCUCAGUGGUAGAUCAUCUGCUUUGCAUGCAGAAGGACCCAGGUUAAAUCCUUUCUUACCUCCU